rnacentral:rRNA from 1 species
UACGAAGGGGGCUAGCGUUGUUCGGAGUUACUGGGCGUAAAGGGCGCGUAGGCGGCUCAUCAAGUCGGGCGUGAAAUCCCUGGGCUCAACCCGGGAAUGGCGCUCGAGACUGAAGGGCUUGAGUGCGGGAGAGGAUGGUGGAAUUCCCAGUGUAGAGGUGAAAUUCGUAGAUAUUGGGAAGAACACCGGUGGCGAAGGCGGCCAUCUGGUCCGCAACUGACGCUGAGGCGCGAAAGCGUGGGGAGCAAACAGG